AACGAACGCUGGCGGCAUGCCUAACACAUGCAAGUCGAACGAGACCUUCGGGUCUAGUGGCGAACGGGUGCGUAACGCGUGGGAACCUGCCCUUAGGUUCGGAAUAACUCCCCGAAAGGGGUGCUAAUACCGGAUAAUGUCUUCGGACCAAAGAUUGAUCGCCUUUGGAUGGGCCCGCGUUGGAUUAGCUAGUUGGUAGGGUAAAAGCCUACCAAGGCGACGAUCCAUAGCUGGUCUGAGAGGAUGAUCAGCCACACUGGGACUGAGACACGGCCCAGACUCCUACGGGAGGCAGCAGUGUGGAAUAUUGGACAAGGGGCGAAAGCCUGAUCCAGCAAUGCCGCGUGAGUGAUGAAGGCCUUAGGGUUGUAAAGCUCUUUUACCCGGGAUGAUAAUGACAGUACCGGGAGAAUAAGCUCCGGCUAACUCCGUG
rnacentral:rRNA from 1 species